rnacentral:rRNA from 1 species
UCGCACGAGAAAGUGGAGCAUCCAUGAGUACAGUGGCGUACGGGUGAGUAACACGUGGAUUAUCUACCUUCUAGUGGGGAAUACCUCCGGGAAACUGGAGACAAUACCGCAUAAGCUCGUAAGAGGAAAGCAGCAAUGCGCUGGAAGAGGAGUCCGCGGCUGAUUAGCUAGUUGGCGGGGUAACGGCCCACCAAGGCGAAGAUCGGUAGCCGGCCUGAGAGGGCACACGGCCACACUGGCACUGAAACACGGGCCAGACUCCUACGGGAGGCAGCAGUGGGGAAUCUUGCACAAUGGGGGCAACCCUGAUGCAGCGACGCCGCGUGAGCGAUGAAGCCCUUCGGGGUGUAAAGCUCUUUCGGCAGGGAAGAUUAUGACGGUACCUGCAGAAGCAGCUGCGGCUAACUACGUGCCAGCAGCCGCGGUAAUACGUAGGCAGCGAGCGUUGUUCGGAGUUACUGGGCGUAAAGGGUGUGUAGGCGGUUCUUUAAGUUUGGUGUGAAAUCUCCCGGCUCAACCGGGAGGGUGCGCCGAAUACUGAGGGACUAGAGUACGGGAGAGGAAAGUGGAAUUCCUGGUGUAGCGGUGAAAUGCGUAGAUAUCAGGAGGAACACCGGUGGUGUAGACGGCUUUCUGGACCGUAACUGACGCUGAGACACGAAAGCGUGGGUAGCAAACAGGAUUAGAUACCCUGGUAGUCCACGCCCUAAACGAUGCAUAUUUGGUGUGGGUCAUUCAGUUGAUCCGUGCCGGAGCUAACGCG